rnacentral:rRNA from 1 species
GAUGAACGCUGGCGGCGUGCCUAACACAUGCAAGUCGAGCGAGAUAAAUGUGAGUGGAGACUUCGGUCAAAGCGAUCAUUUUGAAAGCGGCGGACGGGUGAGUAACGCGUGAGCAAUCUGCCCCAUACAAAGGGAUACCCACUGGAAACGGUGAUUAAUACCUUAUAAGACCACAAAGUCGCCUGGCUUAGUGGCCAAAGAUUUAUCGGUAUGGGAUGAGCUCGCGUCUGAUUAGCUAGUUGGUGAGGUAAUGGCUCACCAAGGCGACGAUCAGUAGCCGACCUGGGAGGGUGAACGGCCACACUGGAACUGAGACACGGUCCAGACUCCUACGGGAGGCAGCAGUGGGGAAUAUUGCACAAUGGGCGCAAGCCUGAUGCAGCAACGCCGCGUGAAUGAUGAAGGCCUUAGGGUUGUAAAGCUCUUUUAGCAGGGAAGAUAAUGACGGUACCUGCAGAAUAAGCCCCGGCUAACUUCGUGCCAGCCGCCGCCGUAA